AUGCGAAAAGUAAUGUGAAUUGCAGAAUUCAGUGAAUCAUCGAAUCUUUGAACGCACAUUGCGCCCGCCAGUAUUCUGGCGGGCAUGCCUGUCUGAGCGUCAUUUCAACCCUCAUGCCCCUAGGGCGUGGUGUUGGGGAUCGGCCAGCGCCCGCGAGGGACGGCCGGCCCCUAAAUCUAGUGGCGGACCCGUCGUGGCCUCCCCUGCGAAGUAGUGAUAUUCCGCAUAGGAGAGCGACGAGCCCCUGCCGUUAAACCCCCAACUUUCUAAGGUUGACCUCAGAUCAGGUAGGAAUACCCGCUGAACUUAA
rnacentral:misc_RNA from 1 species